ensembl:snRNA U2 U2 spliceosomal RNA
AUCACUUCUCCGCCUUUUGGCUAGAUCAAGUGUGGUAUCUGUUCUUAUCAGUUUGAUAUCUGAUACGUCCUCAAUCCGAGGACAAUAUAUUAAAUCGAUUUUUGGAGCAGGGAAAAAAAAAAAAGAGGUCGUUCUCCACUGCGGAUUCUGCUCUCUGGGGACAGCUGGCAAUGUCUA